rnacentral:rRNA from 1 species
ACUGAACGCUGGCGGCAGGCUUAACACAUGCAAGUCGAGCGGGGUGAUGGUGCUUGCACUAUCACUUAGCGGCGGACGGGUGAGUAAUGCUUAGGAAUCUGCCUAUUAGUGGGGGACAACAUCUCGAAAGGGAUGCUAAUACCGCAUAAGUCCUACGGGAGAAAGCAGGGGAUCACUUGUGACCUUGCGCUAAUAGAUGAGCCUAAGUCGGAUUAGCUAGGUGGUGGGGUAAAGGCCUACCAAGGGGACGAUCUGUAGCGGGUCUGAGAGGAUGAUCCGCCACACUGGGACUGAGACACGGCCCAGACUCCUACGGGAGGCAGCAGUGGGGAAUAUUGGACAAUGGGGGGAACCCUGAUCCAGCCAUGCCGCGUGUGUGAAGAAGGCCUUAUGGUUGUAAAGCACUUUAAGCGAGGAGGAGGCUCUUUUGGUUAAUACCCAAGAUGAGUGGACGUUACUCGCAGAAUAAGCACCGGCUAACUCUGUGCCAGCCGCCGCCGUAA